rnacentral:rRNA from 1 species
UAGGGAAUCUUCGGCAAUGGGGGGAACCCUGACCGAGCAACGCCGCGUGAGUGAAGAAGGUUUUCGGAUCGUAAAGCUCUGUUGUUAAGGAAGAACGAGUGUGAGAAUGGAAAGUUCAUACUGUGACGGUACUUAACCAGAAAGGGACGGCUAACUACGUGCCAGCAGCCGCGGUAAUACGUAGGUCCCGAGCGUUGUCCGGAUUUAUUGGGCGUAAAGCGAGCGCAGGCGGUUAGAUAAGUCUGAAGUUAAAGGCAGUGGCUCAACCAUUGUAGGCUUUGGAAACUGUUUAACUUGAGUGCAGAAGGGGAGAGUGGAAUUCCAUGUGUAGCGGUGAAAGGCGUAGAUAUAUGGAGGAACACCGGUGGCGAAAGCGGCUCUCUGGUCUGUAACUGACGCUGAGGCUCGAAAGCGUGGGGAGCGAACAGG